rnacentral:lncRNA from 1 species
GUUCUCUGCUCAAUCUCGCCUGGGUCGCCUUCCUCGCGCACUUUUGGUUAUUGAUCCAGCUGAACCGGCGGGAGCGCGGAACUGCGCUUCCCUAGGGACGAAGAGAGUGGGGAGGGGAGUAGAUUGGGGGGUAGUGAGGGGAGGUUGAUAAACUUUAGGAGAAGGGUGUAGGGUGUUCCUCAGAACCCCAAGGCAGAC